AUUAUGAUGAGCUGAGCUAAUUCCAGCUGUGUGUGGAGCCAUGUUUGUUGACAUACAAUGCAUUCUGGGUUUCACUUCAUCGUCUGUCUGACCAAAGAGGCUAUAACAAAAUGAGUACAUCAGCAGCAUGAAAGAAGUUGACAGGAUUUCUCUCCAUGCUCACUCCACGUGGACUUAUGUCGCACUCCUGAGAGACAAGGCAGUUGAUAGCUUCGACUGGAUGCUGUGUGCAGGUUGCUGGCUUGGACUCAGAUCUCACGGUAGGAGUGGUGAAGGACAAGGUCAUAGUAAACGCCAUUUCUUCAUCCGGUUAGGGGGGGUUGAGGUCCACACUGUUUGGUCAAAUGAUCCUUUUCCAUGCAUCUAGAUACCAUCUGUAGUCACCUUCGCCAUAAUCUCAAAAGAGGACAGAUCAGAACAACAGUUUAGUUCAGUUCAUUUCUGUUUCAGGAAAUCCAGACAAGCAUUGACUGUAUGACAAAUUACUUAUACCAAUUAUUCUUAAUACAAAACUCUUUGUAAGACAAAUGUCAGAAAGAAUAACAACAACAUUCUGUUCAAACAAUUGUUCAAAUUGGCUUAUACUCCCCUUAUCACAUUGUCGACCUCAUCACAGAUUCGCAGGGUCAGGAAGUUAGAGGACUAAUCCUUAGGGAGUAAUCUCGAUCAUCCAGCAGACCCAAUCUGGUGAGAUUUGUAUCAAAACAAAAUAAACAAACAACGCAACAAUACACUCGUUCAUAUAGCACUCGAUACACUUCUAUAUAUCACUCGAGGUGUGUAAAUUUCAAUCCCAAAACCUCAAAUGAUGGUAAUUGCCCCAUUUUGACACAUGACUCACAACGUGAUUAA